rnacentral:lncRNA from 1 species
CGGAAAUCCGAUUGUUAUUCCGACUCCUCCAAUCCUGUUUCUUUGAUUCGAGUCAACUCCUAAGAAAUCCAUUCCGACUUUUCGUCCUCACUCGAAGCUUGUUGGUUUUGUUCAGUCGGGUUCGUCCGGGAGGCUCUGUGGAGGUUUUCUGGCUGACUUCAAGUUCCUACUCAGGCAUUUGCCCAAGCUACGUCUACUGUUGCCAGUUGCUGCACAAUGCCUUCUCUUGUAACAACCGGGAGGAACCCCUUACGCCGGGAUUCAGUCACUAAAGGGACUUUUCAAGCGCUGAGCCUCAGUUUACUCUCAACUUUCAUACACUGCCCUUCGUGCCUAUUUUAUAGGUCAACUCUAAGGAUUAGACAAAUGCGUGUAAGAAACUUUCGUUUUCCUUCUUUAAAACAGCAGGUUGGAACUCUACAUUUCGGGGACGUUUUAUCUGAGUCGUGUUUGUAUUCAUUCUCUUGUCUUUCAAGGGAUCUAGUUAUUUGUUUUUUCCACCUCUUGAUUCUCAAAUGGCUUUGUUAGACCUGCUUUCACGGAUUAACACCUGUCAGUAAUUUUUUUUUCCUGUCUUGUCUCUUCAGGGCUGUGCUGUUUCUAAUUUUUUGUUCCAUUUUGUUAUCAACUAGCUAGUUCAGUGUAAUGGACUACCUUCACAUAAAGUGAACAUUAGUUCUGC